AUUUAAUAAUAAAUUAUAAAAUUGGAAGGAUACAGAGAAGAUUAGUAUGUCUCAUGCGCAAAAAUUACACCCAUAAAUCGAGAUAUGGUCCAAAUUAUU
rnacentral:snRNA from 1 species